UGGGCCUAAAGCAUCCGUAGCCGGUUGCAUAAGUUUUCGGUUAAAUCUAUGCGCUCAACGUAUAGGCCGCCGAAAAUACUGUGCAGCUAGGGAGUGGGAGAGGUACACGGUACUCAGUAGGAAGGGGUAAAAUCCUUUGAUCUAUUGAUGACCACCUGUGGCGAAGGCGGUGUACCAGAACACGUUCGACGGUGAGGGAUGAAAGCUGGGGGAGCAAACCGGAUUAGAUACCCGGGUAGUCCCAGCUGUAAACGAUGCAGACUCGGUGAUGCAUUGGCUUGUGGCCAAUGCAGUGCCGCAGGGAAGCCGUUAAGUCUGCCGCCUGGGAAGUACGUACGCAAGUAUGAAACUUAAAGGAAUUGGCGGGGGAGCACA
rnacentral:rRNA from 2 species